GUGGGGAAUAUUGGACAAUGGGCGAAAGCCUGAUCCAGCCAUGCCGCGUGUGUGAAGAAGGUCUUCGGAUUGUAAAGCACUUUAAGUUGGGAGGAAGGGCAGUAAGUUAAUACCUUGCUGUUUUGACGUUACCGACAGAAUAAGCACCGGCUAACUUCGUGCCAGCAGCCGCGGUAAUACGAAGGGUGCAAGCGUUAAUCGGAAUUACUGGGCGUAAAGCGUGCGUAGGUGGUUGUUCAAGUCUGUCGUGAAAGCCCUGGGCUCAACCUGGGAAUGGCGAUGGAAACUGGGCGACUAGAGUGCGGUAGAGGGUAGUGGAAUUUCCUGUGUAGCGGUGAAAUGCGUAGAUAUAGGAAGGAACACCAGUGGCGAAGGCGACUACCUGGACUGAUACUGACACUGAGGUGCGAAAGCGUGGGGAGCAAACAGGAUUAGAAACCCCAGUAGUCC
rnacentral:rRNA from 1 species